ACGGAGGAUCCAAGCGUUAUCCGGAUUUAUUGGGUUUAAAGGGUGCGUAGGCGGAUAAAUAAGUCAGUGGUGAAAGCCUGCAGCUUAACUGCAGAACUGCCAUUGAUACUGUUUAUCUUGAAUAUGGUUGAGGUGGGCGGAAUAUGACAUGUAGUGGUGAAAUACUUAGAUAUGUCAUAGAACACCGAUUGCGAAGGCAGCUCACUAAGCCAUGAUUGACGCUGAGGCACGAAAGCGUGGGUAGCAAACAGGAUUAGAUACCCUGGUAGUCCACGCCCUAAACUAUGAUCACUCGAUGUUGGCGAUACACUGUCAGCGUCUAAGGGAAACCAUUAAGUGAUCCACCUGGGGAGUACGACCGCAAGGUUG
rnacentral:rRNA from 1 species